UUCUAUAGCAUGCAAAACGUGAUUUGCGCUGAGAUGAACAUAUAUGUUCAUGACGCGAGUAAUUUUCACUUUUCACUGAUCCAAAGGAGGUCACGUGGGAUUGCUUGACGGUUGCGAAAUUAACAGCAAUGAAAAUGGCGAAACGAAACUUGUGAAUCGUGCAUUUGCUCUUCAUGGUAGCUGCCAGAAAAUCGAAUCAAACUUAUGGGACACUGGAUUACAGGUUGCUGCCACUACUCCAUGUGCCCGCAAUUGUCUUGCGUGUAUGAUUACACUAACGACGUCGCCCACCACGGCGGAAGUGUUUUGCGUACACGCGUUUCAGCAUGAAGCCUGCAGGUGGACGUAAAUUGUAGAAGGCAGCUAGUGGGGGAGAAGAUCAUGGUCAUAGGUCAUGUGGCUCCUGGAGCUCCCAGUGGGCUCCCUUGUGGAGUACUUUUCAGAACACGCACACAGUUCGCUCACAGAACCAACGAGUAGGAUGUUGCUUGAAUACUGAGAGAAAAUGGCAUAACACAUACAAAUAUCGUGUGACACAUAUGACAAUAAAACCAUUUUUCACGAGGGAUGCAUGAAACACUGUCGCAAUAUUGUGUGCAUGAACCAUUGUGUGUGACACAAGCCGUGGGGGCACACCGCCUCUGACACAUUUUGGGAAGCAUAAAACACAGUAUAUACACAGCUAAUAUGGUGGAUGCUUCUUUUUUCUUUUUGGCCGUUAUGAGACAUCUUCGGCCGUAAUGAGACUACCUUCGGCCGUAUUGAGACUUUGGCCGUAACGAGACACUUGGGGAUUAAAGGAUUUUCGGCCGUAAUGAGACUUUCGGCCGUAAUGAGA